GACAGAGGUGCCGAGCGUUAGGCGGAAUCACUGGGCUUAAAGCGUGUGUAGGCGGAUCGUUAAGUAUCUUGUGAAAUCCCACGGCUCAACCGUGGAACUGCUGGGUAUACUGGCGAUCUUGGGCCACCUAGGGGCAGAUGGAACAGACGGUGGAGCGGUGAAAUGCGUAGAUAUCGUCUGGAACGCCAAAGGUGAAGACAGUCUGCUGGGGGUGUGCCGACGCUGAGACACGAAAGCCAGGGGAGCGAACGGG
rnacentral:rRNA from 1 species